rnacentral:rRNA from 1 species
AGCUCCAAUAGCGUAUAUUAAAGUUGUUGCAGUUAAAAAGCUCGUAGUUGGAUUUCUGGUGUGAGAGUUGCUUCCCACUUCUUAGUGGGUUUGCAUCUCUUGUACCAUCCUUGAGCAGCACGUACUGGUAUUAACUUAUCGGUGCGACAGUUGCUCAUCGUUUACUGUGAGAAAAUUAGAGUGUUCAAAGCAGGCUUAUGCCGUUGAAUAUAUUAGCAUGGAAUAAUAAGAUAGGACCUCGGUACUAUUUUGUUGGUUUGAGAACCAAGGUAAUGAUCAAAAGGGACAGUUGGGGAUAUUCGUAUUUAGUUGUCAGAGGUGAAAUUCUUAGAUUUACGAAAGACGAACUACUGCGAAAGCAUUUAUCAAGGAUGUUUUCAUUA